CACAUGUGACGUAGUUUGAUCAUGGCUCAGAGCGAACGCUAGCGGCGGGCUUAACACAUGCAAGUCGUGCGGAACCUUCGGGUUCAGCGGCGGACGGGUGAGUAACACGUAGGUCACGUACCUUCUGGAGGGGGAUAACCCGGGGAAACCUGGGCUAAUACCGCGUAUGUCCUUCGGGAUGAGAGCCUUCGGGCGCCAGAAGAUCGGCCUGCGGCCCAUUAUUUAAUCCUAGUUGGUGAGGUAACGGCUCACCAAGGGUACGAUGGGUAGCUGAUCUGAGAGGAUGAUCAGCCACACUGGGACUGAGACACGGCCCAGACUCCUACGGGAGGCAGCAGUGGGGAAUAUUGGACAAUGGGCGAAAGCCUGAUCCAGCUACGCCGCGUGGGUGAUGAAGGCCUUCGGGUUGUAAAGCCCUGUCGGGAGGGAAGAAUUUUGACGGUACCUCCCAAGAAAGCACCGGCUAACUCCGUG
rnacentral:rRNA from 1 species